rnacentral:rRNA from 1 species
UGCAGUCGACGGUAACAGGCCUUCGGGCGCUGACGAGUGGCGGACGGGUGASUAACGCGUAGGAAUCUGCCUGUUAGUGGGGGACAACGUGGGGAAACCCACGCUAAUACCGCAUACGCCCUACGGGGGAAAGGAGGGGAUCUUCGGACCUUUCGCUAACAGAUGAGCCUGCGUUAGAUUAGCUAGUUGGUAGGGUAAAGGCCUACCAAGGCGACGAUCUAUAGCUGGUCUGAGAGGACGAUCAGCCACACUGGGACUGAGACACGGCCCAGACUCCUACGGGAGGCAGCAGUGGGGAAUAUUGGACAAUGGGCGAAAGCCUGAUCCAGCAAUACCGCGUGUGUGAAGAAGGCCUUAGGGUUGUAAAGCACUUUCAAUUGGGAGGAAAACCUAUCGAUCAAUACCCGAUAGCUUGACAUUACCUUUAGAAGAAGCACCGGCUAACUCCGUGCCGGCAGCCGCGGUAAUACGGAGGGUGCGAGCGUUAAUCGGAAUUACUGGGCGUAAAGCGUGCGUAGGCGGUUCGUUAAGUCAGAUGUGAAAGCCCUGGGCUCAACCUAGGAACUGCAUUUGAAACUGGCGGACUAGAGUUUAGUAGAGGGGAGUGGAAUUUCAGGUGUAGCGGUGAAAUGCGUAGAUAUCUGAAGGAACACCAGUGGCGAAGGCGACUCCCUGGACUAGAACUGACGCUGAGGUACGAAAGCGUGGGUAGCAAACAGGAUUAGAUACCCUGGUAGUCCA